rnacentral:rRNA from 1 species
GAUGAACGCUGGCGGCGUGCCUAACACAUGCAAGUCGAGCGAACAGACCAGGAGUUUGCUCCUCUGACGUUAGCGGCGGACGGGACAGUAACAUGUGGAUAACCUACCUAUAAGACUGGGAUAAUUUUGGGAAACCGGAGCUAAGACCGGAUAAUAUAUUGAACUUCAUGGUUCAAUAGUGAAAGUCGGUUUUUCUGUCACUAAUAGAUGGCUCCGCCCCGCAUUAGCUAGUUGUUAAGGUAACUGCUUACCAAGGCAACGAUGCGUAGCCGACCUGAGAGGGAGAUCCGGUACACGGGAACAGAGACAGGGCAGAGACUCCUGCGGGAGGAAGCAGUAGAGACUCCUACGCGAGGGAGGAGUGCCUGACGGAGCAAAGCCGCGUGAGUCAUGAAGGUCUUAGGAUGGUAGAACUAUGUUAUUAGGGAAGAACAAAUGUGUUAGUAGCUGUGAACGUAUUGACGGUACCUGAAGAGAAAGCCACGGCUAACUACGUG